AACGCGAAGAACCUUACCAGGUCUUGACAUCCCGCCGAAAGAGAGGGUAAUGCCUCUCCCUCCUUCGGGACAGCGGUGACAGGUGGUGCAUGGUUGUCGUCAGCUCGUGUCGUGAGAUGUUGGGUCAAGUCCCGCAACGAGCGCAACCCCUGCUCUUAGUAGCCAGCAUUUUUAGAUGGGCACUCUAAGAGGACUGUUAGGGAUAACCUAAAGGAAGAUGGGGAUGACGUCAAAUCAUCAUGCCCCUUAUGAUCUGGGCUACACACGUGCUACAAUGGCGUGGAACAAAGGGAAGCGAAGUCGUGAGGCCAAGCAAAUCUCAAAAAACACGUCUCAGUUCGGACUGUAGUCUGCAACCCGACUACACGAAGCUGGAAUCGCUAGUAAUCGCGGAUCAGAAUGCCGCGGUGAAUACGUUCCCGGGUCUUGUACACACCG
rnacentral:rRNA from 1 species